CAAAGGCUUGGUCCUGACUUUACUAUCAAUUAUAGCUAAACUUACACAUGCAAGUAUCCGCACCCCUGUGAGAAUGCCCUACAGUUCCCCGCCCGAGAACAAGGUAGCCGGCAUCAGGCACACUCCUCCCUUCAGCCCACGACGCCUUGCUUAGCCACACCCCCAAGGGAACUCAGCAGUGACAGACAUUAAGCCAUAAGUGAAAACUUGACUUAGUUAAAGCUAAGAGGGCCGGUAAAACUCGUGCCAGCCACCGCGGUUAUACGAGAGGCCCAAGUUGAUAGACACCGGCGUAAAGGGUGGUUAAGAUAUUCUAAAACUAAAGCCGAAUACCUCAAAGCCGUUAUACGUACCCGAAGGUAAGAAGCCCAACUACGAAAGUGGCUUUACAUAUUCUGACCCCACGAAAGCUAUGACACAAACUGGGAUUAGAUACCCCACUAUGCCUAGCCAUAAACAUCGACAACAAACUACACCUGUUGUCCGCCUGGGAACUACGAGCACUAGCUUAAAACCCAAAGGACUUGGCGGUGCUUUAGACCCCCCUAGAGGAGCCUGUCCUAGAACCGAUAACCCCCGUUCAACCUUACCCUUCCUUGUUUUUCCCGCCUAUAUACCGCCGUCGUCAGCUUACCCUGUUGAAGGCCCCACAGUAAGCAAAAUUGGUAUACCCCAAAACGUCAGGUCGAGGUGUAGCGUAUGGAAGGGAAAGAGAUGGGCUACAUUCCCUUAAUUAAGGGCACACGGAAGGUGCACUGAAAUAUACACCUGAAGGAGGAUUUAGCAGUAAGCAGAAA
rnacentral:rRNA from 1 species